rnacentral:rRNA from 1 species
UUAAGCGACUAAGCGUACACGGUGGAUGCCCUGGCAGUCAGAGGCGAUGAAGGACGUGCUAAUCUGCGAUAAGCGUCGGUAAGGUGAUAUGAACCGUUAUAACCGGCGAUUUCCGAAUGGGGAAACCCAGUGUGUUUCGACACACUAUCAUUAACUGAAUCCAUAGGUUAAUGAGGCGAACCGGGGGAACUGAAACAUCUAAGUACCCCGAGGAAAAGAAAUCAACCGAGAUUCCCCCAGUAGCGGCGAGCGAACGGGGAGGAGCCCAGAGCCUGAAUCAGUGUGUGUGUUAGUGGAAGCGUCUGGAAAGGCGCGCGAUACAGGGUGACAGCCCCGUACACAAAAAUGCACAUGCUGUGAGCUCGAUGAGUAGGGCGGGACACGUGGUAUCCUGUCUGAAUAUGGGGGGACCAUCCUCCAAGGCUAAAUACUCCUGACUGACCGAUAGUGAACCAGUACCGUGAGGGAAAGGCGAAAAGAACCCCGGCGAGGGGAGUGAAAAAGAACCUGAAACCGUGUACGUACAAGCAGUGGGAGCACGCUUAGGCGUGUGACUGCGUACCUUUUGUAUAAUGGGUCAGCGACUUAUAUUCUGUAGCAAGGUUAACCGAAUAGGGGAGCCGAAGGGAAACCGAGUCUUAACUGGGCGUUAAGUUGCAGGGUAUAGACCCGAAACCCGGUGAUCUAGCCAUGGGCAGGUUGAAGGUUGGGUAACACUAACUGGAGGACCGAACCGACUAAUGUUGAAAAAUUAGCGGAUGACUUGUGGCUGGGGGUGAAAGGCCAAUCAAACCGGGAGAUAGCUGGUUCUCCCCGAAAGCUAUUUAGGUAGCGCCUCGUGAAUUCAUCUCCGGGGGUAGAGCACUGUUUCGGCAAGGGGGUCAUCCCGACUUACCAACCCGAUGCAAACUGCGAAUACCGGAGAAUGUUAUCACGGGAGACACACGGCGGGUGCUAACGUCCGUCGUGAAGAGGGAAACAACCCAGACCGCCAGCUAAGGUCCCAAAGUCAUGGUUAAGUGGGAAACGAUGUGGGAAGGCCCAGACAGCCAGGAUGUUGGCUUAGAAGCAGCCAUCAUUUAAAGAAAGCGUAAUAGCUCACUGGUCGAGUCGGCCUGCGCGGAAGAUGUAACGGGGCUAAACCAUGCACCGAAGCUGCGGCAGCGACGCUUAUGCGUUGUUGGGUAGGGGAGCGUUCUGUAAGCCUGUGAAGGUGUGCUGUGAGGCAUGCUGGAGGUAUCAGAAGUGCGAAUGCUGACAUAAGUAACGAUAAAGCGGGUGAAAAGCCCGCUCGCCGGAAGACCAAGGGUUCCUGUCCAACGUUAAUCGGGGCAGGGUGAGUCGACCCCUAAGGCGAGGCCGAAAGGCGUAGUCGAUGGGAAACAGGUUAAUAUUCCUGUACUUGGUGUUACUGCGAAGGGGGGACGGAGAAGGCUAUGUUGGCCGGGCGACGGUUGUCCCGGUUUAAGCGUGUAGGCUGGUUUUCCAGGUAAAUCCGGAAAAUCAAGGCUGAGGCGUGAUGACGAGGCACUACGGUGCUGAAGCAACAAAUGCCCUGCUUCCAGGAAAAGCCUCUAAGCAUCAGGUAACAUCAAAUCGUACCCCAAACCGACACAGGUGGUCAGGUAGAGAAUACCAAGGCGCUUGAGAGAACUCGGGUGAAGGAACUAGGCAAAAUGGUGCCGUAACUUCGGGAGAAGGCACGCUGAUAUGUAGGUGAAGUCCCUCGCGGAUGGAGCUGAAAUCAGUCGAAGAUACCAGCUGGCUGCAACUGUUUAUUAAAAACACAGCACUGUGCAAACACGAAAGUGGACGUAUACGGUGUGACGCCUGCCCGGUGCCGGAAGGUUAAUUGAUGGGGUCAGCGCAAGCGAAGCUCUUGAUCGAAGCCCCGGUAAACGGCGGCCGUAACUAUAACGGUCCUAAGGUAGCGAAAUUCCUUGUCGGGUAAGUUCCGACCUGCACGAAUGGCGUAAUGAUGGCCAGGCUGUCUCCACCCGAGACUCAGUGAAAUUGAACUCGCUGUGAAGAUGCAGUGUACCCGCGGCAAGACGGAAAGACCCCGUGAACCUUUACUAUAGCUUGACACUGAACAUUGAGCCUUGAUGUGUAGGAUAGGUGGGAGGCUUAGAAGUGUGGACGCCAGUCUGCAUGGAGCCGACCUUGAAAUACCACCCUUUAAUGUUUGAUGUUCUAACGUUGACCCGUAAUCCGGGUUGCGGACAGUGUCUGGUGGGUAGUUUGACUGGGGCGGUCUCCUCCUAAAGAGUAACGGAGGAGCACGAAGGUUGGCUAAUCCUGGUCGGACAUCAGGAGGUUAGUGCAAUGGCAUAAGCCAGCUUGACUGCGAGCGUGACGGCGCGAGCAGGUGCGAAAGCAGGUCAUAGUGAUCCGGUGGUUCUGAAUGGAAGGGCCAUCGCUCAACGGAUAAAAGGUACUCCGGGGAUAACAGGCUGAUACCGCCCAAGAGUUCAUAUCGACGGCGGUGUUUGGCACCUCGAUGUCGGCUCAUCACAUCCUGGGGCUGAAGUAGGUCCCAAGGGUAUGGCUGUUCGCCAUUUAAAGUGGUACGCGAGCUGGGUUUAGAACGUCGUGAGACAGUUCGGUCCCUAUCUGCCGUGGGCGCUGGAGAACUGAGGGGGGCUGCUCCUAGUACGAGAGGACCGGAGUGGACGCAUCACUGGUGUUCGGGUUGUCAUGCCAAUGGCACUGCCCGGUAGCUAAAUGCGGAAGAGAUAAGUGCUGAAAGCAUCUAAGCACGAAACUUGCCCCGAGAUGAGUUCUCCCUGACUCCUUGAGAGUCCUGAAGGAACGUUGAAGACGACGACGUUGAUAGGCCGGGUGUGUAAGCGCAGCGAUGCGUUGAGCUAACCGGUACUAAUGAACCGUGAGGCUUAACCUU